UCUGUGGUGAUGAGACGCGCAGGGGUACGGACCUCAGCCGGUGAUGGGGGCUGAGUGCUGCUGCAGACGUUCUGACCGGGGGACGAGUGGUUCGCCGGCAGAGCGACAGCAGCACGACACAGACGCUGGACUGAACAGA
ensembl:snoRNA